UGAAACUAAAGACAGGUGGGAUUUAGAUUGGCACUUAAGUUUAGUGCAGUGUCAGCUACUUUUAAAAUGGCUUAGGCUGAGGGUAGGGAAUGGAGAUGCUCAGUCAGCAAGGCUCUGAGGGCAAGCAAGACUCCGUGGGUAAAUCUUAUGAAGAAAGAAGAGACAGAUUAAAUCCUGCGGUUUACAAGAGGCAAAGUAAAAAUCUGACUCCUAGAACUUCAUCUAAAUUUUAAGACUCUAGAAGAUGAUUCAGUGAAAGAGAAUAAAUCAAAAAUAAAUAAAAGAUUUAUUGGAAUGGGGAACCCUAAAAUUACAGGGGUUCUGCUCUCCUGCAGUAAACCAGCACUUGUACUAGCAAAUUGGGUAUGACUGCAUGUGGUAAGUAUAUUCAGUGCAGGUAUCUUAACAUUCUGUAAAGGAAAAAUGAUUCAAUACAUUUUGUAAUUGAGUUUUUAUUUGCUUAUUUCAGGUUUUGCUGUUCUUGGAAGUUUUUAUCAUUUUUUUUUGUUCCAAGUUUAUUUACAAACUGUUGGUAGAAAUUACACAGAUUAUUAGGCAAACACUAGCAAAACCUUUACCAAUCUUUUUGGAUUUCUUUUUCAGACCUCUCCUCAGGGAUCUGCAAAAGUUUCUACAACUCAGAGAAAGAGACUUGAAAUCAGUAACUCAAGUCGCAGGAAAUUACUUUUUACCAUAGUAAGAAACCUCUUUUAAGUACAGGUAAAAGAUACAAGUAUCCACUGCAGGCUUGGCUGCCUUGCUAUAUAAUUAUAAAUCUUCUAGGUAUACUGGUGAGAGAAGACUUACUGAACUUGUUAAGAAAUUUAUCAAUACUUUGCAUAUGAUCUACAUAUAUUGAAGGUGGAUCCACUUUUCCAGCAAAACAUGCUGUGACAAUACUCCAGUGUAAUUUAAAUACCAUGGUGAAAUAAAGGUUGAUAGCAUUUUUCUGAAUUUCUGGAGAAUAUAUUAAAUCUAAACACUCACACAGAAGAGAGUUUAAAAAUACUUUAAAAAAAGCAAAAGAAAGAAGUAUAAUAAGCUGGAGCACAAACAGCUGCAUAAGCACUUUGUAAUACAACACUGUAAUAAAGUUACUCUUCUAAAUUAUUUAGGAUCAGAACAUAGCAAAAUUUUGGUUUGCAGUUUGUUUUUUGAAAUUAAGAUGCAUGAGAAAAUGCAAUAGAGCAAGCUAAGGAUGCUAGGUGGGUUGUAGCUCUCAGAAAAUACAUUAUUGUGUAUAGCUUGAUUUUAUUUAAACUAAUAGAGCACACACUUAUGCUAAUACUUUUCUAGCUGGAAUACAGUGGAUUUUUCUUAAGAAAUUGAUUUUUCUGGAAGUACACCAUGUGAUGAAAAUACUUUGUGGGACUAAUUUUAUGUUCUUUGCGUUUUCUAUAGCCUUUGACAUUACAGCCACACUUAGUGCAUUUAUCUGGAAAUGCUUUAUAGCUGCAAAAAUCCUAAAGGCACUGCAAGAACUUUCAGUAAUCACUUCACUGAAGUUUUGGGUCCCUCACUACAACAAAGACAUUGAGGUGCUGCAGUGAGUCCAGAGAAGGGCAAUGGAGCACAGGUGUGAUGAGGAGCAUCUGAGGGAGCCAGGGGUGUUUAGCCUGGGGAAGACGAGGCUCAGGGGUGACCUUAUUGCACUCUACGGCUGCCUGAAAGGAGGUUGUACCCAUGUGGAGAUAGGCCUCUUCUCCCAGCUGACAACUCAAAAUUCAGCAAUUACAUUGAUUCUGGAGAUCCUUUAUCAGUUCUGCUGCAUGGGAAGAGACAGCCUUUGGAGACAGAAAUGAAGAGUAGUAUAUCGAAGAGGUUAGUCUUCUAACUUGUGUUAGACAGAGACUGAUCCCAAAGAAAAGUUCUGGAAAGUAUCAGAGACCAGAGAAUUCCAAGAAGCUGAGGCCAUGGACCAUAGGCCACAGUUACAUUUUCAAGGAGAGGUUGUUGUAAUUUUUAGUCCAACAGUAACAAGUCCAACAACAUAAGAAACACAUUGUGAACUGAAAGGGACAGGCCAGACACUAAGAGUCAAAUCAAAGCAGGUGUUCCCUGCUUGUCUUCCAUCAACUACUCCUUUGAUAUUUUCACUCUGAUUUAUGUUUCAGCUGAUUUCAGUGGAAAUGAUCCUAUGCAGACCCAAGACCAGCCUCUUACAGUAACAGCUCAAAUGCAAACCAAAAUCUUAACAAGUAUCAGCUACUAGACAAAAUGAAGAUUUGAACUGUUAUUGUAUAUUCUCUAAAGUGAUUAAAUUCUUCAGGCAAAUUAAAAUUACUAACUAAUUACAUUUUCCUCAGAACUAAUAAGCAGAUGUAUGCUAACUGUUCAGUUGUUUGCUCUUCUGAGGUGAAUGUUUGUACCAUUUUAAUGACAUCUUCAAAGAUGAAAAGCAAUGCUAGCAUGAGACAACACUGUUCAUUUGACUGAACUUGAGAAGGGAAGGCUAAAGCAGCUAUGACAGAACACUGAAAGAGGCCUCUGAACAGCAGCAGCAUGAUAACUUAGAUAUCCACUUUCAAACCCAAGGUCAAACAUUCUUUCCUUCCUCCCUCAUUGCAUUUACCUCCAGGAGUUAUGCAUUAGAUGUUAACAGUCUUUCUCUUCAAGCAAGCAGGUUUUCAUUCUGUUUUGGUAAGGUCACAACAAACAAUAAGUGACAAGAUUUUUAAUCAGCACAUCAUAACACACACCUACAAAAAAAAAAAAGGUGCUCCUUAUAGUUUUGGUUUGUUGUUUCUACAACUGAUGUGCUGCAGGAACUGAGGUUGCAUCUGCCUGGAAGAUAAUGAAAGUUUAUAGAAGCAAUAAAAGAGCUAACAAGCAAAGGACUGCACUGUUCCAAAUCUAGGAUCUGACCUGCCUUUGCAAACAAGGUCUAUGCUAGCAAGUGUUUUAUACUGCUGGUCCCUAGAGAUGCCAUGAAAGGACAAAUACUAAUACACUUUAAAUGUUUUUACAUCUAUAUUAUUUCUCACUUUCCAAAAAGAAGCAAAGAAAAAUGCUUGAAAUUUUUGAUAUGCCAUUUGCCAAAGAAUAUACUCUGUAAUUUGUAGUAGUAGUAAACACAAAAGAGAAUAUUAAUCUAAUCUUCUCUAUUGUCUAACAGUCUUUCACUAUUGGUAAUUCACUGCAAAAUAACCCUGGGAUUGGGAAUCCCCUGCUCUUAGAUACUUAUGACUUUAGGACAGGACAGCAAAGAGAAGAGGCAGCAUUUGCUGAAGCAAUCAUUUUCCCACGUGAAACUUAAGACUGACAGCAGCUCUGAGUGCAUGUACGCACAAGACUCUUCAAUGAGCAAUGACGUUUGAAUGACUUCCAAUAACCUUUAAGCACUAAGAGAUGAUAUUUUUUUAAUUUAGGUGCCUAGGAUGAGGUGUCCUACGAUUUCCUUUUCGAAAGUCUCACUAUGUUGCGUUUACCCUGUGUCAUUACUUUAAGCGCCUUGUACAGUUUUGCUUUUUUUUCUUCCAUUUUCAUUCACAUCCACCCUAAGAGAUGUAUAAGCAUGUACAAGAUGUAUAAGAAUGGCAGUAGACACUAUUCUAGCUUACUGUUAAAAAAAAAAAAGAAAAAUUGUAAAAAUGUUAUUUCUAUAGCUAUGUAGUUUUAAUUAUACCUUCAUUUCCCGUUUUUACAGUCCUGUCAAAAAAAAAUCACUGAGGCAAGGAACUUUUUCAGGUAUGCUCAUUAAAUACUACCAGUUCUCAAAGCAAUUUCUGACUUGGUCCUUCUUUUACCCUUGUUUAGUAUUUUUGGGACUGACAUUUCCCAUGUUUCAUCUCCACUUAAGGUAUCAGUUGUUUGCUUCUUGCCCUCCCUCCAAAUUCAAGAAAGUACCUGUCAGUGCAGUAAAUAAUAUGACAGCAGAACAUUCUCCCCCACUGAUCACUCUAUGAAAAACAAACAAACAAACAAGUCCUGACGGCUUUUCAGAAUGUUUUCUCAGAGGUUUUCAGAAUAAAUUGUAUUACUACUAUGUAUUGUGAAUAAAUACAGACUGCACAAAUAAUGCUGUUACAGAAAUACAUGUUUGGAAAAAUGAAGCAAUAAGAAACAAAAGUAUUACCAAGCUUAAAAACUUGCGGUCAAAAAGGCAAUGACUUAAGUAGAAAACUGACAAAUGCUAGGAAUAGGCAAAUCUGUGUUGUUCUGUAGCUUAUUUUAUCCCCUUCCUCCCAUCUUUGUAGGAGCUGAAUUUCUCUAUUUGGUAAAUAUAAUUAACAGU